CGGUAACAUUUCUAGCUUGCUAGAAGAUGACGAGUGGCGGACGGGUGAGUAAUACUUAGGAAUAUGCCUUUGUGUGGGGGAUAACCAUUGGAAACGAUGGCUAAUACCGCAUAACGUCUUCGGACCAAAGGGGGCCUUGGCUCCCGCGCAAAGAGUAGCCUAAGCGAGAUUAGCUUGUUGGUGAGGUAAAGGCUCACCAAGGCGACGAUCUCUAGCUGUUCUGAGAGGAAGAUCAGCCACACUGGAACUGAGACACGGUCCAGACUCCUACGGGAGGCAGCAGUGGGGAAUAUUGCACAAUGGGGGAAACCCUGAUGCAGCCAUGCCGCGUGUGUGAAGAAGGCCUUCGGGUUGUAAAGCACUUUCAGUUGUGAGGAAAGGUUAACGGUUAAUACCCGUUAGCUGUGACGUUAGCAACAGAAGAAGGACCGGCUAACUCCGUGCCAGCAGCCGCGGUAAUACGGAGGGUCCGAGCGUUAAUCGGAAUUACUGGGCGUAAAGCGUUCGUAGGCGGUUGAUUAAGCAAGAUGUGAAAGCCCAGGGCUCAACCUUGGAACUGCAUUUUGAACUGGUCAACUAGAGUACUGUAGAGGGUGGUGGAAUUUCCAGUGUA
rnacentral:rRNA from 1 species